rnacentral:siRNA from 1 species
CACCCAAGGAGAAAGAAAGAGCCU